rnacentral:rRNA from 1 species
AGAGUUUGAUCCUGGCUCAGGAUGAACGCUAGCGACAGGCCUAACACAUGCAAGUUGAGGGGUAUUGCAGCAAUGCAAGAGACCGGCGCACGGGUGCGUAACGCGUAUGUGACCUGCCUUACACAGAGGGAUAGCCUUCCGAAAGGGAGAUUAACACCACAUAACAUCAAGAUGCCGCAUGGUAUUUUGCUUAAAUCUCAGGAGGUGUAAGAUGGGCAUGCGUAUGAUUAGCUGGUUGGCGGGGUAACGGCCCACCAAGGCGACGAUCAUUAGGGGUUCUGAGAGGAAGAUCCCCCACACUGGUACUGAGACACGGACCAGACUCCUACGGGAGGCAGCAGUGAGGAAUAUUGGUCAAUGGGCGCAAGCCUGAACCAGCCAUGUCGCGUGCAGGACGACUGCCCUAUGGGUUGUAAACUGCUUUUGUAUGGGAAGAAACGACGGCACGAGUGCUGUUUUGCCGGUACCAUACGAAUAAGGAUCGGCUAACUCCGUGCCAGCAGCCGUGGUAAUACGGAGGAUCCGAGCGUUAUCCGGAUUUAUUGGGUUUAAAGGGUGCGUAGGCGGGAUAUUAAGUCAGUGGUGAAAGUUUGACGCUCAACGUUAAAAUUGCCAUUGAUACUGGUUUUCUUGAGUACAGUUGAGGUAGGCGGAAUGUGGUGUGUAGCGGUGAAAUGCAUAGAUAUACCACAGAACACCGAUUGCGAAGGCAGCUUACUAAGUUGUAACUGACGCUGAAGCACGAAAGCAUGGGGAUCAAACAGGAUUAGAUACCCUGGUAGUCG